rnacentral:rRNA from 1 species
GACGAACGCUGGCGGCGUGCUUAACACAUGCAAGUCGAACGGAAAGGCCCUGCUUUUGUGGGGUGCUCGAGUGGCGAACGGGUGAGUAACACGUGAGUAACCUGCCCUUGACUUUGGGAUAACUUCAGGAAACUGGGGCUAAUACCGGAUAGGAGCUCCUGCUGCAUGGUGGGGGUUGGAAAGUUUCGGCGGUUGGGGAUGGACUCGCGGCUUAUCAGCUUGUUGGUGGGGUAGUGGCUUACCAAGGCUUUGAAGGGUAGCCGGCCUGAGAGGGUGACCGGCAACAUUGGGACUGAGAAACGGACCAGAAUCCUCCGGGAGGCAGCAGUGGGAAAUAUUGCACAAUGGGCGGAAGCCUGAUGCAGCAACGCCGAGUGCGGGAUGACGGCCUUAGGGUUGUAAACCGCUUUCGCCUGUGACGAAGCGUGAGUGACGGUAAUGGGUAAAGAAGCACCGGCUAACUACGUG